rnacentral:misc_RNA from 1 species
GCACAAAGAAUCCUGCGUUAGCAGGGUACCACAAAAUAGAAUUCGUCAUUUUUAUGUAUCCCAAGGAAGCAGAAGAAAAAUGUAAAAAAUGUGCAACCAACCUGGUUCCGGUAGAUGAGAUACCCCAGACAGUAGUAAACCAAGAGGAAUGGCAGAAUUAGGGGAGCAAGGAAGAAGUAUGUUAUACCAAGGAGGCCAAACAAAAGAAUCCUGGGAAUUUCACUGUGGUAAGGAACUGAAGGGACCUCAAACUCAUCAUCAUAUUUCCUACAAAUAUUUCUCUUUAUAAAAUUGAAAACGAGCGUCGACAGCUGAAAAAGUUCUGAGGAAGUGCUGGUCCAUCCAGAUGUAACCACAUAGGCGAUAAAGAAAGUUGCCUGUCCUGGAACUGCUACAGCUAAUAUGGCAGGAAUAUUUUUGGGCUCAAGAAAAAUUUCAACUCGAUAGAGAGCCGAUCCAGAGAGCACAUUUGCAAAAAAAAUGUUCU